rnacentral:rRNA from 1 species
GGGGAAUUUUGGACAAUGGGCGCAAGCCUGAUCCAGCAAUGCCGCGUGCAGGAUGACGGCCUUCGGGUUGUAAACUGCUUUUGUACGGAACGAAAAGCCUCUCUCUAAUACAGGGGGGUGAUGACGGUACCGUAAGAAUAAGCACCGGCUAACUACGUGCCAGCAGCCGCGGUAAUACGUAGGGUGCAAGCGUUAAUCGGAAUUACUGGGCGUAAAGCGUGCGCAGGCGGUUUUGUAAGACAGUGGUGAAAUCCCCGGGCUCAACCUGGGAACUGCCAUUGUGACUGCAGGGCUUGAGUGCAGGAGAGGAGAGUGGAAUUCCUAGUGUAGCGGUGAAAUGCGUAGAUAUUAGGAGGAACACCAGUGGCGAAGGCGACUCUCUGGACUGUAACUGACGCUGAGGCACGAAAGCGUGGGGAGCAAACA